CCGUGGAAGAAACUUUAACAUUUUAUAUAUACACCACCGUUGCCAACAUAGUCAUAACCAACAUUUAUAUACACACAGGACACUAGUAUGCAAGCCUCCACAAUCAAUAACUUGGUUGGGACAGGGCCCCAUCAUACCCAAAAUGAUAAAGACAUGUACUCCAGUACCUAUCGACUUCUGUUCAGCUACUCCGGAGAAGUGGAGUGCGACAACUAACAGGUGAAACAGGUACCCUAUUGAAGAGGCAUGUCACCGGAUCUAUCUGUAUUUGUGGGCAUAAACAUAAUGCCUAGAAGAAAGGGGUAUCAAUACGAAAGAUGUACUGAAUAUGUCAGACAUGUAAUAAAGGUAAACCAAAGACUUAUUAUAAUAGAUAUAAAUACAAAAUUUCGAACUGAAUACCGAAGACAGGCCACUGGGGCAUACACUGCGGAAACCAUGAACUAUAAAUGCGUGCAAGUUUUUGUAAAAGUCAAGUAAUGCAUUAAACAUAAUAUAGUAAUAUUCCACCGCUCUUGAGACAUAUCAUCUCAUAUCAUGUUCAACCACACUUUGGGGCAUAUCAUAUCAUAUCAUAUCGUAUUCGAUCUCCGAGAGUACUCGGUAAAGUUUAUAUCUUCAUCGCAUCGUACCCGGCCUCAGGAGGUCUCGGUUGUACCCUACCUCAACAGGACUUGGCGUUCCCGGCCUCAAGGGGACUCGAUCGUACCCGGCCUCAGAAGAUCUUGAUUAUACAUAGUCUCAACAAAACUCGAUGUACACGGUCUCAAGAGGACUCGAUAAUAUCACAUGAUACAUCAUUCCAUACCCAGCCUUGUAGAGGACUCGGUCAUACCCGGCCACACGAGGGCUCGGUAAAUACUUCACAUUAUGUCUCAUCACACCCAACUGAUCAGUGGAUGCACAAUAUGUAUUGUACCCGUCCGACUAUAACGCAACUCGAUAAAUUAAAAUAGAUACAUACAUACAUACAUNAAUGUAUAAGAACAUGAACAUCAUUAUCAAGAAAGACUUAGAACAAUUCAAUUUUACAACAAAAGGAUUUUUCAGAAGGGACAGCUUGCAUCAAGACAUGCCAACGAAAGAAAAUUGCCUCACAUACCUUUUUGAAAGGCUAACUAUGUUUUUUGAGUUCUUACACUUCUAUGGUGAUUUCACUUCAACGGAAUCUCCAAAAUUAGUAUAACAAGAAGGCAAAUGACUCAGUGAUGGUAACGAGAUUCUUUACGUUAAAUUCAGCUAGGUUCGCCUUUGAUUAUGCCUUGAAUCAUUUAAGAGUUCUUAAAAGAAACCCGAGAGAUGAUUUUUGUGUAGAAUGAAAGAGAAGAAAGUUG
rnacentral:lncRNA from 1 species